UGGGGAAUAUUGGACAAUGGGCGCAAGCCUGAUCCAGCCAUGCCGCGUGAGUGAUGAAGGCCCUAGGGUUGUAAAGCUCUUUCACCGGUGAAGAUAAUGACGGUAAUCGGAGAAGAAGCCCCGGCUAACUUCGUGCCAGCAGCCGCGGUAAUACGAAGGGGGCUAGCGUUGUUCGGAUUUACUGGGCGUAAAGCGCACGUAGGCGGACUAUUAAGUCAGGGGUGAAAUCCCGGGGCUCAACCCCGGAACUGCCUUUGAUACUGGUAGUCUUGAGUUCGAGAGAGGUGAGUGGAAUUCCGAGUGUAGAGGUGAAAUUCGUAGAUAUUCGGAGGAACACCAGUGGCGAAGGCGGCUCACUGGCUCGAUACUGACGCUGAGGUGCGAAAGCGUGGGGAGCAAACAGG
rnacentral:rRNA from 2 species